AACUGAUCAAUAAGGUCAUCUUUCUGAUUCUUAAUUAAAGUUCUUUGAAAAGUAGAUAAACUUAGUAAAAUAAUAGAAAUCAAAG
rnacentral:rRNA from 1 species